GGGCAUUACGACAGGGGCAUAAAAAAAGACCAAAACACAAAAGCUUCACUAUAACCACUGAACCAUAUAAAUGAAGUAAAAGUCAUCUGAUUCCCGUCUGUUGUACACCUUACAAUCAAUCCAUUCACCAAAUAUAGUAGAUAUAUUGCUUAUAGUUUGAGAUAUUGACUAAACCAUGCACGAAUACCUUGUUCACUGACCCAUUAAAUGAG
rnacentral:lncRNA from 1 species